rnacentral:rRNA from 1 species
AGUGAACGCUGGCGGUAGGCCUAACACAUGCAAGUCGAACGGCAGCACAGUAAGAGCUUGCUCUUACGGGUGGCGAGUGGCGGACGGGUGAGGAAUACAUCGGAAUCUACUUUUUCGUGGGGGAUAACGUAGGGAAACGUACGCUAAUACCGCAUACGACCUCCGGGUGAAAGCAGGGGAUCUUCGGACCUUGCGCGAUUGAAUGAGCCGAUGUCGGAUUAGCUAGUUGGCGGGGUAAAGGCCCACCUAGGCGACGAUCCGUACCUGGUCUGAGAGGGUGAUCAGCCACACUGGAACUGAGACACGGUCCAGACUCCUACGGGAGGCAGCAGUGGGGAAUAUUGGACAAUGGGCGCAAGCCUGAUCCAGCCAUACCGCGUGGGUGAAGAAGGCCUUCGGGUUGUAAAGCCCUUUUGUUGGGAAAGAAAAGCAGCAGGUUAAUACCCCGCUGUUCUGACGGUACCCAAAGAAUAAGCACCGGCUAACUUCGUG